AUACACGUACUUUUGAAUAAAAUUUAAUUAAAAAAAAUAAACAUCAUUAAAUUAGUUAAGUCAAAUUAAUUUGGGAAUUAGAUUAAUUCACUUAUCCGUUUGAAGAAAUUUCUUUAAAUAAUUUGCAUUCCUUAAAACAUAACUUAAACCAGCCCCAUACCACCCCAACCCGACAACCAAACCCCAUUUUUAGCCCAAUUACCCACAAACAUUGUCCAAGUCUCUAACCUAGUCUUGUACUUACACUCUAAAUCUUUUUCACCAUUAUCUCUCUUCCCAACAAAUGCUGAACAUGAGCUAUAACCUAAACACCUCUACUACCAACUCUGUUAGUAUCCAUAUCCAUCUCUAAGAUUUCAUAGAUCCACAAUAGUUGACUUUGAUUCACCAAUUGCGCGUUUUCUCCUGAAAAUCUUAUCCUUGUCCGGAGCAAUCAAAAUCAAAUCUGGAUUCUUUGAGAUAUGUCUUUAUCUUACUGAAAUUCUUCUAAUCAAUUCUGACUUCACUCUCAAACAACUAGUUUUUGAGUUCAAGCCAUUUUUUUCAGCUAUAAAUGCAUAGCGUUUGUUGCAAUUUUGGAAAAGAAGAAAAAAAAAGUGGGAAUCCCUCUCCUAUUGCCAUCUGUGAAACUCGUAAAAUCUUAGCCAUAGAUUUUAGAUUCAAAAAUCGUUUCUACAACCUUAAAUUGAGAGCUUGAUAUUCUUAGUUUAUUUUGCUAAAGUUUAUCAUCCGCUUCCUUUAAAAAUCUAUUCGGAGGUAGUUGAUAGAGGAGUUCAAGACUCAAAGCCCUAGUUUGUUGCCCCACACAAGGUAAACUCUAUCCCAUCUUGCUUGUGUUGUACUUAGUUUUGUUAAUCAUUUAUCAUGUGGUUAGUCGAGAUGAUAGCCGACUGGCUCAAAGUAUAAAAAUUUGAAUGAAAUAAAUUUUACGGGUUUGAGAUCAUGUGUAUUUGCAACUUGUGAUAUUACUUGAGUAUAUUUUAUCCCGUCUAGUUAAAUUAUGUCUAAUUUUGAUGAUUUAUUGAUCGACUGAGUUUAUCAUUCUCGUGUGGAUAAUCAUGAACAUAAAAUGUGAAAUGAAAAUAAUUUUCUGGUCUUUUUGAUUGUCCAUAUUUGAUUGAGUGUUUGUGAAAUAUUUACGAUUUGUGAUUUAGCUCGAACCAGCUCUAUGAGGUAUGAGGGCAUAUGUGUGGUUAGCUGCCCAUUAUAAGAUUAUAGCUAUGUUGAUUUGGAUGUUCUGGCCUUAGUAAUAGCUACUUAUUUUUUCUCUCCUUGGCUAUGCUUUUACAAUGCAUUAGCAACCAUAAAACUAGUAUCCCGUCUUGUUUUGUUCUUACUCGUCCAGCCUUGCUUGUCACUAUAAGCAACUGCUUGUGUGUAAACAUGUGGAAUAUGUGAUUCAUAUCUGACAUGGAUUUAAUUAGUGGAAAAAUAAUAUAAAACAUAGCACCAAAAAUAGAAUUUGAUUUGCUCAUUAUUUCAUACUCACAAAUUAACUGUUCGAUGAAUUUUUGAUAAAUCUGUUAGCUUGUGUAUAGUCCGACCGACCUAUCAUUUUAAAAUCAGAAGCUAAUCCCUCCCUCUUACGCAUUCUUGAUCCUCUUGAAAUGUAGUCAUUACUUAAUCGCCUUUAGAUUUAGUAAAACUUCUUUCUUCCCUUGUUUUUACCAUUUAUAAUAUAUAGACGUGUUUAUAUGUACUGGUUGGUUGAACUUUAUUGAUCGAAGUUCGCUAAGACGCUAGUUUGGUUCAUCUGAGUUUUCAAAUGAAUAUAACUAACUCUUUAAGGGUAGUUUGAUGUUAGUUUUGGAUGAUUUGAACAUGGAAUUAAUGGCUUAACCAUCUCUUUGUUUGGUUGUUGUGUUCGUAAGAUGCAAGCAACCUUUAACUUAGCAUGGAAGGUCUCUAAAAUGCUUAAAAACUCUACAAACGCUUAGUUGUCCGUAGUAGGAUUUCUGUGCCAUCUUUUGCUAGAAUACUAGAAUACGAAAUUAUGUUUGUACUGUUUUAGGAUAGUUGUUUACUUAAAUGUGAUUUUUAACUUUUAACUUAGUAUGAAACAAGUUGUAUAAGCCUUAAGUUUUGAAAUAAAAGUAUUUCACUGUAUAUUGAAGUUCUCUAUUUUCUUUUGUUAGCUUGAGUACUAAAAAUAAUUAGAAAAUCUUGAGAAUUCACUGCGAAGGUAGUUUUAGCUACUCUUAGUAGCUAAUUAUGUGGUUAAGCAUGUACCAACUUGUGUCCACUUAUGUCACGAUCCGAACCAGGGUCUAGUCGUGACGGGUAUCUCAAGCCCACCGUGAGUCGAAGACCAUCCCCUUAGCCUAACAUUCAGAAUACAAUAGACGAAUAUAGCGGAAGUCAAUCAAACAUGAUGAUAAAAAGAAUAGAUAAACCAAAUGAAAACUAAGAGUCAAAAAAAUAACCAACCCAUACUUGUCCACAAAAGCCUCUAGAAUCCAGAAAUACCAAAUUAGGUCGGGACAUGCCCCCGACCAUGACAAGAGAAAACACAUAAUUUCCAAAAUCUGAAAACAAAGCUAAUGAAAUGGUAGGGCUUUCCAAAAGAUGAAGGCUCACCACUUCACAGCAACUCAAUCGAUGUGCCACACCACUUAACGCUGCACAGGAAUAACAGAAAAUUCCUUGGACCCUACAUCAUGAAAUGAUGCAGUGUCUAGGGAUGGUCAGUGCAGCAACCACUGGCAUAUAACUCAGAAAAAGUAAUAAAAUAAUGCUAUUGCCAGAAAUCCAGUUAAAAUCACAUGCACAACACUUAUAUAUACAUAUAUAAGAUGUCGGGAUAGGGAAAAGGGUCAUGUACAUGAAAGUCUAAACUAUUAACCUGAACUGUUUAGCUCGCUCCAUCCUAAAGGAACCCAUGGGAUAAAUAGAUUUAGCUCCCCUGCUGAAAGGCCCCAGUGCGUGUUAACCGCAUGUACGAGGAAAGGCUAAACAUACCAAAGGGGUAGCCAUCCAAAUUAUAAAGUGCGCACCAAGCACAUGGUCACAUAGAUCCCCACGUUAGCAAACAUGGUUGCUAAUGUUGCUCCCCGUUGGGACUACACAUUCACAGUAAGCUACAUAAUUUCCUUUAAACGCAAAUUAAAAUAGUUUACAUAUAAAUCCAACUAUCAACUAAGGAGUCUUUAUUAAGGCAUUUUCCAAUAUGAUAUCGUCAUACCAAUAUGCUUGCAAGCUAAUUCAAUUAUGCCAAACCAAUCUAUAUAACCAUUUGACUCCCAAGGUUCCUUUAAUAUCCAAACCACUGCCACCAAGGGCAUUCCCAAAACUAUUUGUAUUAUCCAUUUGUCCUUUAUUGCAAUGCAAUAUUUUCAAUGUAAGUUAAACUAUGUGAGCUUCCAUAUUCAGUUUCAAGUUUACAAGGUGGGUUGAGGUUAAUGCCAAUUUCAAGCUAAAAAUCCAUCAAUUUGGGGAAACCCAUAUUCCCCAUCUUAAUCCCUAUAGUAAUGCACCCAUUCAGCCCACAAAAACCAUUAAUCAAAGCAUGAAUAACAUGUUUAAAUCAUGGGAAAACAAUUCAAGUAGAAAUCAAUUAAAAGCCCCCAACCCAAUUUCAUACCCAAUAAUUAAACCACAUGAAUGUUGAAUCAAUUUAUGCAUAAUGUAAAAUACAACUUUAGGUAUGGGAGACAUGCCUGAAAUACCAAAUAAUUGAAAGAAAUUUAAAAUUUGGAGCUUCAAUGUUAGUUUCUUGCCUUGGGAGUUAAAGAGUAAAAAUAAAUUUUUAUUUUGAUAACUGAUGGUAAAAGGGUCAUUAGAGUAUUUUUAAGUCAUGGGGAAAGUGUAAAGGGAGUAAAAGACCAAAAGGACCCUAAUUAAAAUGUAUAGGAAAAAUUAGAAACAGUCGUCACAAUUUAGGUAACGACUCGUGAGGCCUGACUAUGAGUUGUGGCCCAAAGUUGUUACUCGAGGAUCAAAAUUUUGGUACCUCACUAUUAUGAUGCUAUCUCAUCAUGACUCAUUAUCUGACAUCAUGAGUCGUGAUGAAGACUCGCGGUCAGAGGCUGGACUCCUGGGUAACCUUUUGUUAUGACAACGAGUCCUUCAUAAUGACUCAUUGUGCCUCACAACGGGUCGUACCCUGGACUCAUUAUCAAGGGACCAAAACCUGGGCUUUCUUGCUGCCAAUACAACAAGUCCUCAUCAUAACUUGUUAUGUCUCAUAAUGAUUUGUACCUUGGACUGUUGUCACUGGAAGUUUUUUUUACAUUAUUUCAGAAACUUGGCAAUUCAAUUACUAAACUCUUGGAGGGUCUAAAGCUUGAAAACUUGGGGUGUCACAUUACCCCCACCCCACCCCUCCCUCAGUAUUAUGAGUUAAGACACCCUUAGCAUGAUAAUAUGAAGAAUGCAAACAGAACCCAAGACAAAUUAAAAAGGGAAAUGAAACUCAUACCUCAAGCACUUUCAUCCAACACAGGGAACAAGAACGGGUACAUGGAUUUCAUAUCUUUCUCAACUUCCUAUGUAGCUUUUUUCACCUUUUUAUUCCUCCAAAGGACUUUCACCGAAGCUAUAUCCUUUGUCCUCAAUCUAUGAACUCGCAUAUCCAAUAUCUCAAUCGGUACUUCCUCAUAAUACAAUGAAUUCAUAACACCAACAUCCUCAACAAGAACUAUUGGAAUAUAGGAUGAAUCAAAGAUAAACUUGCUGAUAAAUCCAACUCAUAAAUGACAUUCCCAAUCUUUCUUACAAUAUGAUAUGGACCAACGUAAUGGGGACUAAGUUUCCCUUCUUCCCAAACCUCAUAACUCCUUUCAUGGAAAAAACGGUCAAAGAUACCCAAUCACUAAACUCAAACUCUAACUCCCUCUGCCUCACAUCUGCAUAAGACUUUUGGAGACUCUGAGCAGUCUUAAGUCUUUCUCUAAUCACUUUCACCUUAUCCAUGGCUUGGUGAACCAAGUCAGGACCAAACAACCUAGUCUCACCCACCUCGAACCACCCAAUAGGAGACCUAUACCUUCUUCCAUAAAGAGCCUCAAAAAGAGCCAUUUAAAUGCUAGAAUGGUAGCUAUUGUUAUAAGAAAACUCAAUAAGAGGCUAAUGAUCAACCCAACUACCUUUAAAAUCAAUCAAACAUGACCUUAGUAUAUUCUCUAAAGUCUGAAUAGUCCAUUCCGCUUGUCCAUCCAUUUGAGGGUGGAAAGCGGUACUAAGGUUCACCUAAGUACCCAAGUCCUUCUGAAAAGAAUGCCAAAAAUGAGAAGAAAAUUGCGUACCUCGAUCAUAAAUAUUAGACACCGGGGAUCCAGGCAGCCGAAAUACCUUCUGAAUGAAUAGCCUUGCAUAAUCUUCUCUUGAGUAAUUAGUCCCCACAGGCAAGAAGUGAGCAGACUUAGUCAUUCUAGCCAUAAUGACCCAAAUAGAAUCAUACUGAUUGUGAGACCACGUAAAACCCGUAAUAAAAUCCAUAUUAAUCAUCUACCACUUCCAUAUGGGUAACUCUAUCUCUUGGGACAAGCCACCAGGCCUCAAAUGUUUAAUCUUGACUAGAUGGCAAACCAUACACUUACCAACAAAAUUCAUCACAUCCUUCUUCAUAUUAUUCCACCAACAGAUUUCCUUCAAGUCAUGAUAAUGGCGUUAGAUUUUCAAUGCAAAGACCACAGAUGCUAACUCUAGAUCGUGAGUUAGGCAAUUCCUCUCGCGAACCUUAAGCUGCCUGGAAGCAUAGGCCACAACCUUACCAUGCUGUAUCAAAACACAAUCCAAUCCCACACGGGACGCAUCAUAGUACACAAUGAUCCCAUCAAUACCCUCGGGCAGGGUAAAACCAGGCACAGAAGUCAACUUAUCUUUCAAUUUCUCAAAACUACCCACACAAGCAUCAGAUGAUAAAAACUUAAAUCUUUUUCUGAGUUAACUUCGACAGUGGUUCAACAAUAGAUGAAAAACUCUUCACAAACCUCCUAUAGUAGCUUGCCAACCUAAGAAACUCCUAUUGUCGGUUGGAGUCAUAGGUCUACGCCAUUUCUUAACUGCCUCAACUUUCUGUGGAUCCACCUUGAUCCCUUCACUAGAAAGCAUAUGCCCAAGAAAAGUUAUAAUACUUAGCCAAAAUUCACACUUAGAAAAAUUUUCAUACAAUUUUGGUUCCUUCAGAGUUUGCAGCACAAUUUAGAGGUGGUUGGCAUGAUUCUCUUUAUUCUUAGAGUACACCAAGAUGUCUUUAAUGAAGACUAUAGAAAACAAAUCCAAAAACUGCCUGAACACCCGAUUCAUAAGAUCCAUGAAAGCAACCGGAGUAUUAGUCAACCCAAAUGACAUAACUAGAAACUUAUAGUAGUCGUACCGGUUAAAAAAAAAAUAGUCUUGGGAAUAUCAACCUCCUUAAUUUUCAAUUAGUGGUAUCCCGAACAAAGAUCAAUCUUAGAGAAGCACCUAGCUCCAUGAUGUUGAUCGAAAAGAUCAUCAAUCCUAGGAAUGGGAUACUUAUUUUUCACUGUAACCUUAUUCAGCUACCGAUAGUCUAUAUACAUUUGAAGAAACCCAUCCUUCUUUCGCGUGAAAAGCAUAGGAGCACCCCACGGUGAAACACUAGGAUAGAUGAAACCCUUAUCAAGAAGAUCUUUUAAUUGCUCUUUUAGCUCAUUUAACUCAGCAGGAGCAAUUCUAUCAGGAGGAAUAGAAAUAGGAUGGGUAUUUAAUAGACUAUUAUUCCUGAAAUCUAUUUCCCUAUUGGAGGAACUCCAGAAGGAUCAUUGGGAAAAACUUUAGGAAACUCAUUAACCACAGGAACAGAUUGGAAAGAGGAAUUCUCAGAGUUAGAAUCCUCAACUCGAACUAAAUGAUACAAACAACCUUGAGAAAUUAAUUUCUGAGCUCUAAGAUAAAAAAUAAACCUUUCAUUGAGCACUAAGGAACUCCCCUCCCAUUCUAUCACCGGUUCAUUAGGAAAAUGGAAAUUGACCUUUUGGGUCCUACAAUAUAGAGAAACAUAACAAGAAUAAAGCCAAUACAUCCUCAAGAUUACAUCAAAAUCUAUCAUAUUAAGUUUUAUUAAAUCCAUCAAUGUCUCUUUAUGAUGAACGAACACCACAUAACCCCUAUAGAUUUUUCUAGCAACAAUGGAAUCAUCCACCAAAGUAGAUACAAAAAAAGGAGUCAGAAAUAUUUUCAGGACCAAAACCAAAAUGUACAACCAUAUAACGGGUCAUAAAAGAUAGGUUAGAACUUCAAUCUAGCAAACCAUGCUAUAUCUCUCAACAUACCACUCCACCAAUAAUACUGCCUUAAAUCCCUAUACAUCUUAGUUGCUGAGCCUCAUAAAGAAUCAACUGAAUCAAAUCUUAAACACAUGGAACACAAAUAUGACCGUCAAACCUCAGAACAUUCUCAGAAUCUAAGGUAGCCCUCCUAGACUCACCUUUUCACACCUACCCUCAAAUGCUACUAAGCCUACUAUCUUUAUUCUGACGACCCCAAAUCUACUCAAACAAAGUAGGUUUGGCCUCAACACAAGCAAUGAUCCUUCGAGGGUCAGAAAUAUCUAAAUGAACCAUUAAGUUAGCUUAGGAAUAGAUGCCCAAAGCCAAUGGCCGCUAAGAAACUGAAAUGAAGGCUAAGUUAUCCAUACUCACUGACUUCCAGCUCAAGGCGUCCACUACCAUAUUCGUCUUGCCCAAAUGGAAGAGAAUAGAGAUAUCAUAGUCCUUCAGCAACUCAAUGUAUCUACGCUGCCUCAAAUUAAGCUCCUUCUGGGUCAUAAUAUAUUGAAGAUUAUAGUGAUCAGUAAAGAUCUCACAGUGAACCCUAUACAAAUAAUGCCUUCAAAUCCUAAGCACAACCAUUGUCACUGCCAACUCUAAGUCAUGAAUGCGGUGAUUGCGAUUAUGCACCUUUUACUACCUUGGUGCAUAUAUAAUAACACAAACCUUCUACACUAGAAUAUACCCCAGACCAACACUAGACGCAUUAUAGUAAAACUCUCGCCCUCAAUUGGAAGAGUCAAAAUAGGAGAUAAAGUAAGCAAAUCCUUGAGCUUCGGAAAGAUCGCCUCACAACUCCCAGUCCAUAGGAACGGAACCUCCUUCCUAGUCAAUAUAGUCAUAGGGAAUGCAAUAGAAUAAAAAUCCUCAACGAAUCCCCUAUAGUAAUCUUCCAGCCCAACAAAACAACGAACCUCAGUAGGUAACGUAGGCCUAUACCCAACUACGAAUAGCCUCAAUCUUUGUUGGGUCCACUAUAAUACCUUUCUAGGACACUACGUGCCUCAAGAAUGCUAGUGACUUAAGCCAAAACUUGCACUUGGAGAACUUGGCUUAAAGAUGAUGAUCUCUUAAAGUGUGGAGCAUAGUCCUCAAAUAUUGCUCAUUCUUCAAGCUAAUCCUCGAAUAUAUUAGAAUGUCAUCAAUAAAUACUAUCAUGAAAGAAUCCAAAUAUGGCCUAAACAUGUGGUUCAUUAGAUCCAUAAAAUCUGUUGGGGCAUUAGUCAACCCAAAAGACAUCACCAGAAACUCAUAAUGACCGUAACGAGUCCUGAAGGCUAUCUCAGGGAUGUUUGCAACCCUAAAUCUCAAACUGAUGGGAACGAAACCUCAAAUAUUUGUUAGAAAAUACUGUUGUACCCUAAAGUUGUUCAAAUAAAUCAUUGAUAUAAGGCAUUAGAUACUUAUUAUUCAUAGUCACCUUAUUUAACUACCCGUAGUCGAUACACAAAUGCAUAGAGCUACCUUUCUUCUUCACAAAUAGAAUUGAUGCACCCCAUGACGAUACACUCGAUUUGAUUAAACUCUAACCUAGAAGAUCUUAAAGCUAACUAUUCAACUCUAUAAGAGCCAUACAAUAUGGAGCUAUAGAAAUUGGUCGGGUGCCUGUCUCGAGGUAAAUAAUAAACUUUAUAUCACACAAAGAAGAAAGGUCAGGUAGGUCGAUCUGAAAUACAUCAGGAUACUCAUAAACAACAGGGAUAGAGUCAAGAAAUAGACUCUCAACGCUAACAUCCCGAACAUAUGCAAGGGAUGACUUACGAACCCUCGAUAUCAGUCUCCUAGCCUUAUUAUAAGAAAUAAUCCCCGUCGAUGUAUGCUUAACAAAACCCUGCCACACAAUUUGGGGUACGCCGAGCAAGGCUAAGAUUAUUAGCAAAACAAUUAAGGAUCGCAUGGUAAGGAGAUAACCAAUCCAUGCCUAGAAUCACAUCAAAAUCUACCAUAUCUAGGAUAAUGAGAUCAAUCUGAGUAUCAAACUCCCGAAAAGUAACCAAACAACAUUAUAUACUCGAUCCACUACUAAAGAAUCACCCAUAGGGGUAGCUAUACACAAUGGCACAGAUAAGGAAUCUGAACAUAAACCCAGCCGCAAUGCAAAAUAAGCAAAAACAUAUGAAAAUGUGGAACAAGGAUCAAACAAAGCAGAAGUUGGCUAGUGGCAUAAGAAAAUCGUACCUAUGAUCACAGUAUCUCAAGCCUCUACCUCUGUUCUACUAGGUAUAACAUACAAAUAACCCUGUCUACUAGUGAACUAGUGAACUGGGUGUCUGUUUGAGCACCUAUCCUACCUCCUUGCGGACCAUCUCUAGAACCCUAGGGACUAACCCUACAACCUUAUGCACCACCCUGGACGAUAGUAGCACUGAUUUGAGUGACUGUGUAGUCUAAACCAAAUGAUCUAUCAUCCCAUGUUUGGGACACUCACGGGAGAAAUGACUAAUAACCUAUAGUCAUAACAUGCCCCAGGCACCCUACUUUGUCUAAAAGGUCUAGCAGAUCCAAUACGACCACCCUGACUCGAUGAUCCUGAUUGAAUACCCUUCUGCGGAUAACUGCUGCUCUGACUACUGGAACUACUAUAACUGAGCUAACCCUUGUCUAAUAUCUAAAGCGAUGCCUAAACUGGCCGGCUAGGCUGACCCUGAUUCUGAGAAGGCUAUUGCUAAGAAGUACCUAUUAUAAACCCCUUGGACUGUGAACUAUGAAUCCGUGGCUCCCAUUGUAACUGCCUUGGUAAUGAGGUCUCUUAUCGCUGUCCCCUUAGGCCUCACAAUCCAUAUCCUUUUUAAAUAAACAUGCUCAGCAAUAUUAGAAAAAGACUUCCCUUAAGUCACCAAACUCUGUGUAGUCCUACAAAUCGAUAAUCUCUAUACCCUAAUAAAGCAUCAAAUCAGCUCGUACUCUGUAGGCAGAAUCAUACUGGAGUUCCUAGGUAAGUCAUGACAUCUCACCUCAUACUCAACCACAUACAUGGAACCCUAUACCAAAGCAAAAAGAUCUUCUUAAAGACACUUAUGCAUACUGUGAGGCAUGUACUUCCUCAUAAAAGCCUCAGAGAACUGACUCAUGUCACUGUUGGAGAUCCAGCUAGCCAAUAAUCAAGAUAAACUCUCCACCACCUCCUUAUUAUCAUGUUUAGUUGAUAAGCAACAAAUUCCACUCCCCACGACUCAACUAACCCAAAUUUUGUAACCCCUCAUUGCAAUUAGAUAGUAACUCAUAAGUAUUCUCUUUGGGGGUCCUGAUAAACAUGGGUGAAGUCAAUCUAAAAAAUUAUCCUAGCAUUUUCUCCUUCUCUGAAGACAUAAGUGGCUAGGGUACUACCACUUAUAGGACUACUAGUGUUUGCAGAACCUCUACCUUAGGCACCACUGUGGGUUGUGCCCCUAAGUCAACACUAUCCUGUAUUAUUGGUUGAGCUCCCUCAGUUAGAUACCACCAACUAACCCCAACAAAUAUACCAAUACAUCUUGAAGAACCAAAGAAGAUAUAAAUCGAGAUGGAUCCUGGGCUGCCCUUAGCCCACCUGCCGGUGUGGUGGAAAAAUACAUGGAGCUCUCCCAAUCUCAGGAGCUAUGACAAGAUAAGAUGAUGGAUUCCUGGACUAAUUUCUAACUGGACUACUGUCCUAUCUUGCCCUCGACCACUGGGUUGACCUUGACCCCUAAUAGGAACUCUAGCAGGGGCCUCAGGAUCUUGAUCCCCGACUCCCACACCACGCAUCCUAUCCAUCUGCGUAAAGACUGAACUAAUAUAUAUUAAAACUAACUUAGACCCAACCCACACAAAUGGAUCAAGAAAGUGAGAUUUUUCCUUAGAAAGACUUUGUUGCCUCCUAAAGAUAGGAUACAGACGUCUCUAUACCAAUCCACAAGACUCAACUAAACAUCAUCUCUAGUACCAACAAUACCAGGAAAACUCGAGCUCUAAUACAAAGCUUUCACGACUCAAUUUCUCAAGUCGUGAUGGCACAACCUUAUCCCACCAAUAGGCAAGCUAAGCCAUAGCCCGAGAUGAUAGGUAAUGGGCUAAUAGUCAAAAACUAGAGAGGACUAGAUAGAAAUGAUCACAGUAGUAAAAGUAUGUGAAAAAUAGAAAGGAAAAAUAUAUAAUUUAUCAAAUGAGAGAAGAAACGGGACCAAAUAUACAAAUGAAUUUCCUUCCAAGACCUCGUAAGGUCGAUACUAGAGCCAUUACUAAAAGAUACCUAGAGUACUAGAAAAAAUUCAAAAUAUAGAAAAUAUAUACAAGCAGUAUCAAGUACAAAAAACUAAACUAGAACAGAUAAAGGAGGAUCAACCUUGGAAGAUAGCAAGCUCACCCUGCUCUGGAUUAGUACUAAAAGAUAGGAAUCACGUCAACAUUGGCUUCUAGUAAUCAGUUCUACAUCAGGAAAAAAAUGUAAAAGUAUAGUAUGAGUACUAUAGCAAUGGGUACUCAGUAGGCAUCAUUGUUCGACUGAGCUUAAUCUAGGAAAAGUAUAACUAAAAUGACAGGGUAUAGUCUAAGUCAACAGUAAACAAGGAUAGAACGGUAAACAACUAUCAAGCUACACAAAUGCAAUAAAGGAAUAGUAAAAGCAAUACAAAAAUAUAAAUACCGUUAUAAUAAAAGCAAACAAAACAUAACCUAACUAGGUCCCCAUAAGCCUGCCAGGCACACCAAAAAAGACAAUUAACCCAACCUUGCCUCUAUAAGCUAGUGGGACACAAAAAAAGUAAUUAAUAAAUGAAUGUAAAUAAUUUGUAACUGACCUAAUCCUAAAAUUAAAUCAUAGUAGUCAUCCAGAUCUACACCGAGCUUGAACCGGCACCAAUGGGUAGUAAGAAGAGGCUAGACGCCAGGCUCGAACCAGUAGUGAUGGACAAUAAUAAGAGGCUAUAUGCCAGAUUCAAACCUAAAAUAGUGGGCGAUAACGAGAGGCCACAUACAUGACAUACAACAGAACUCUUAAUCAGAUGUUGGACUCUAACUAGCACAUAGAGGAACCACAACUAUCAGAACAACAGUAAUUAGUACCAGAAUUUCCAAAUCAUCAUAACCAAAUGCCGGACUCGAACCGACACUCAUAGUAACCAUAAUCAACUAUAAAAUUAAAACCAAAAUCAUACCGUAGCUGAUGCUAAUUGAUGCCAGAUUUUACAAUAAAUGACAAAAAUAAAGUACAUGUUGACCCUAAACCGUAAUUAAAAUACAUUUAAAUAAUCAUUCAUGUAACUUAAUUUAAAAGAAAAGAAUCCAAGGUUUUGCAACUUAAUACCUAGUCCUAAGCUCAUAAAUACUACAUCAUACUAAAAGAUAACGUCAAAAUUUACUAGAACAGGGCCCUAACCUAAUAAAUAAGGCAUGAUAUAUUUAACAAAUGAUAUGAAAACUACAACUAUCUGCCCAAAACUAGCAUAAUAGCACACAAUUACUGUAAAUAAAUUUUAUAUAAAGAUAGGAUAAGCCUAGCCUACCUGGAGCCCAAAGCUAAAAUGUUUCUCCGAGAAGCCUCCGAAUAGUGCCCCACUAGAACUCGAGCUUGAAUAACUUAAUUUCUUUUUGUAAAUUAAAUACAAUAAGUAAACUUUUUCCCAUAAAACUUAUGCCGAUAUGCGUAUGGGUAUAAAAUGUAACAAUGCAAGUAUGUUGGUAUUUGAUAAUAGUGUAAACAUUUUAAUAUUACAUUAAUCGUGAGGAUCAUUACAGAAAAAGAGUCACCCCACCACUUGUAGGGUGACUAAAUGAGCCGUCAUCAGUAAAGAAGAGAAAUAGACAACGGAUGGAGAGAAGAUUGACUUGUCAUUACUCAAAUGACCAUGAGAGUCACCCACACUAAUCUUCCUGUGGGAGAAGCAUCUAAAUCGAACUAUUACCUAAUCAUUUAGUUAAUACUAAGAUGAUACUGUCAUAAAAAUCAACUUAACAAUAAUAAAUCCAAAUCUAAUCAUUAUUAAUUCGGAAAAUCAAGCAAACUACUCAUUAAAAUCCCCAAAAUCAUGCCUAAAAGAGAUAUCCAAAAUAAAAAAAAUUAAGAAUGUCUCAUUGUCUGUAAGAUGGACACGAACUAAUAUGAUGAUCCAUGGAAGCCUGGAGAUGGAGUGCUUACCCUUGGAUCGAGAAAGCUAUCAAAUGCUAUCGAUGAGGCUGUGUUUAAGCCUUUGGAACACUUUCUGCACUCAACAAAAGAAUAGUACAGGAUAGUAUCAGUUCAAACCACUAUGUACUUGUAGGUAUCAUGGGCCAACUCAAUUUAAUAACAUGUAUACAACAUAAAUUCAACACAUAACAAGUGUUUAACGAAUCAUCAAAUACAUCAAUGACCCAAAAAUGCUUUACAAAUAAGCCACGUAACCAUUAAGAGUAUCAAUCAUCUCGUAAACAACUACAGAAUCAACAGUAAUACCAUAAAUAACAACUAUGUCCUUCUAAACCUCGCAAUUACCACACUAUUAUAUCGUUAUUGGCUUAUUAAACUGCAAGAACUCUCAAAAUCAACACUAAUUUAUAUACACAUGCUAAGGGACUUAUUUUUGCCUAACUAGUCAUGACCUGCAGGGAACAAGUUAAGUCCAUGUACCAUACUGGCGUGGUACCGGAUCCUCCAUAAAUAAGUUGUAUCAUAUUCACAUUUGUACCGGCGUGACACCCGAUUCUCCAUAACUAUGUUAUAUACAAUUUAUCAAAUUCACACUUUCUCUCGGAAUACAAUACGAUGUACUAAAUUUACAAGUGCACUUAAAAUUAUAAGGCAAUUCAAUUAAGUUUGAUUUUUAAUAAUUAUUCAUAUAGUUAUCAACAAUCCAAAUAUCAUCAAAUUCAAGUAUGCCAAAAGACCAAUAAAUAAGCAUCCAAUUUAGUAGCAUACACAUAACUAAAUCGAGUCUAAACUCUAAUUAAACCAUAACCUACCUCAACUGGGAGUACAAAUGCAAGCUACUUGCAAGGGACUUGUCUUUCCAUAAAGUCUCUGAAUGAUCAAAAUCUGUUCAAAUACAUAAUCUCCAUAAGACUACAAAUCUAAUAACACCCAUUUAUAAAUUCUUACUCUAAAAAUUCUAGACCUAAACCUCAACUUUUCUAACCUCCAAAAUACGAGGCAAAUCACGAAAAAGAAAAGAAAACUAAUAUACUGUACAACCCUCAUUCAUGGUAAACAUAGAAAUAUAUCUAUUUCUAUUACUAAUGACAAUGAUUAAUAAACUAGCAUUUAUUAUACAUAGUUUCUAAUAUUGCGGUCAUUCUUAUUGUUAAUAGGAAUUAUAGUAGCAAUAUUUUAACACCAAGAAAAAAGUUAAAUAUUAGUAACAAAGUCAACAUUGUCAUCAUCAUAUCAUCAUUACCCCAUGAUUUCUUGUGCCCCCAAUCUACAUACAUGGACUAAAUACUUACUCUUGUACAGUAAUUGAUGUUAAGACAUAAAUCUCCUAGCAUAAUGAAUUAGAAGCAUGAAAUUUCUCACCUGAGAUGCUCAAUGUUGAGGACAGCGCAGCAGUUUUGAACUCCCGUCUAUGUAUAUUUUUUUUACCAAUUAAAGGAUUAGCCCAUUAACUUUAAUUAAUAUUGAGUGUGGGUUAUGUGAGAAGGAAAGAGUUGCAAUUUUGAUCCAUCAUCACUAAUUAUAUUAAUUAUCUAAAAUACCUAAAACUUUUAAUAAAUUCUCAAACUCUAUUUAAAAUUCCAUAAAAAUAAAUCAAAUAUAUAAAUUGACUAAAGAGUAUGUUCCAAAACUAUUAAAAAUAUUACAAUUCUAAAUCAAGGUCAUUUUGAUCAAAAGUUGUCUGUGGUCGAACUUAACUUUCUUAAAACCUAAUAACCUAACUAAUGACUUAAAGCACUUCCAACACCUCAAGAAUUGGUACUAUCUAUCUCCGUAAGUCAUAAAUCACGUAUACAAACUAUGGAGAAAGCUAAAAUGGGAAAUACAAGUAAAAUUCACAAAACGACUAGGAGGGUCAUUACAUCAGAUACCAAUUAAACAACCGUUCGUCCCCGAAUGAUAAAAUAAUGAACAAGACGGGAAAACAAGAAAUUACCUGAAUCAUCAAAAAGAUGCAAAUACUUGCUACACAUGUUUGCUUUCAGUCUCCCAAGUGGACUCCUCAAUAGGAUGAUUCUUCCAUUAGACCUUCAUAGAUGCUAAUAUCCUUAGUCCUCAACUUAUGGACGUCUCUAUCAAGAAUAGCAAUAGUUUCCUCUUCAUAAGAGAGGGUUUCAUCUAACAAGACUGAAUUCCAAUGAAUUAAGUGGUUACUAUCACCAUGAAACUUCUUUGACAUAGAUACAUAAAACACAGGGAGAGCUCCUGAUAAACUCGGAGGCAACACCAACCUAUAGGCCACCGGUCCCACACACUGAAAAAUCUCAAAUGGCCUACUAUAUAUAGGACUAAGCUAACCUCGCUUCCCAAAAUACAUGAUACCCUUUAUGGAUGAUACCUUGAGCAACACUUGCUCAGCCUCCAUGAAGUACAUAUCUCUCACUUUCUGAUCCGCAUACUUCUUUUUCCUGCUUUGAGCCGCUACAAGUUUCUCCUGAAUGAAUCUAAGCUUUUCCAACAAGUGUCUCAAUAAAUCAGUACCCCACGGUCUUACCUCAAAGGCAUCAAACCACCCCAUGGGAGAUCUACACCUUCUCCCAUACAAAGCCUCAAACGACAUCAUAUCGAUACAACCUUAAAAAUCCAUCACACACAUACGGAGCAUAUCCUCCAAUACCUGAAUCAUUCGCUCAAACUACCCACUGGUCUGAAUAUGUAAAGCUAUACUAAGGUCCAACUUGUACCUAACUCCUCAUACAACUUCUCCUAAAAAAUAGAGGUUAAUUGAGUACCACAAUCUAAGAUAAUAGAAAUCCAGACCCUAUGCAACCAAAUAAUAUCCUUAAGAUAAAUCUUUGUCAACUUUGUUGCAUUAUAAGUCACCUAAACUAGAAUGAGAUAUGCAGACUUAGUCAAUCAAUCCAUAAUAACAUAUAUAGAAUCAUACUUCCCUAAAGUCUUGGGAAAACCAACAAUGAAAUCCAUGGCUAUCCUUUCCCAUUUAUAUUUAGGAAUGGGUAUCCUUUGAAGAGUACUACUAGGCUUAUGAUACUCAUACUUUAUUUGAUGACAACUCUAGCGUUUAGCAACAAAUUAACUAUAUAAUACUUCACUCGAUCCCACCAAUAAUGCUACCUUUUUUACUCCAGGAUGUAUACACUUUGAACAAUGAGCCUCAUCUAGAAUAGUAGGAAUUAAAUCAUUAACACGAGGAACAAAAACUCACCCUUAAUCUGUAACACCCUAUCACCAUCAAAAGCGGCCUUGUUAGCCUCACCCCACAAAACCUUAUCACGAAUCUUGUGUAACUUAGUAUCCCAAAAUUAUUUAGCCUUGAUUUGAUAAAAAAUAUGGACCUUGACUCUAUACUAGCUAAAAAUCCUCCUCUUUUAGUCACCUCGAGUUGAAUAAACUUAUUAGCUAGAUUCUGAAUCUCUCUAGCCAACGAAUGCCUGGUAGCAUUCAAGUAAGCCAAGCUACCCAUACUUGCUGACAUUCUACUUAAUGCAUCAGCUACCAUAUUAGACUUUCUCGGAUGGUAUAGAAUGGUGAUAUCAUACUCUUUAAGAAACUCCAUUCAUCUACGUUGUCUCAAAUUCAAAUCCCUCUGCGUAAGCAUAUGUUGUAAACUACGGUGAUCAGUGAACACUUCACAACGAACUCCAUACAAGUAAUCCUUCCAUAUCUUAAGAGUAAACACAACAGCUAACUCUAAGUGAUGUUUUGAAUAAUUCCUUUAUUAGGCUUCAAUUUCCUCAAAGAAUAAGCAAUCACAUUUCUUUCCCACAUCAAAAUAGAACCUCAACCAUAACGUGAGGCAUCACACUAAAUAAUAAAAUACUUACCUUCUAUAGGAAAGGCAAAAAUAGGAGAGGUAGUCAAACAGGUCUUGAACUUUUAAAAUCUCUCCUCACACUCAUCAAGCCAAAUAAAAGAUACAUCCUUUGGAUUCAGUUGCGUCAUUAAGUAGUAAUAAAAGUAAAUCCUUUCAUAAACCUGCGAUAAUAACUUGCUAACCCCACAAAGCCAUGAACCUCCAUCACUAAAGUACGCCUAGAAUAAUUCUUAACUGCUUCAAUCUUCGGAGGAUCUACCAUCAGCCCUUCUUUUGAAACCACAUGCCCCAAAAAGGAUACAAAAUCCAACCAAAAUUCAUACUUAGAAAAUAUUGCAUAAAGCUUUUUCUCUUUUAACAAAUCCAAAACAAUCCUUAAGUGAUUCUCAUGUUCCUUUUUACCCUUAGAAUAAACCAGAAUAUCAUUAAUAAAGACAAUCACAAAAAAAUACAAGUAUGGCUUAAAUAUCCCAUUCAUCAAACUCAUAAAAGCAGCUGGGGCAUUAGUCAAUCCAAAAGACAUCACAAGAAACUCAUAGUGACUAUACCUGGUUCAAAAUAUUGUCUUUAGAAUAUUGUCGGCCUGAAAGUUAAGUUGAGGAUACCCAGACCUCAAAUCAUGUUUGGAAAAUACGGAUGCACCCUACAACUGGUAAAAUAAAUCAUCGAUAUAGGGGUAAAGGAAACUUAUUAUGGAUCAUAACUUUGUUCAAUUGCCUGUAGUCUAUACAUAUACGAAGACUACCAUCUUUCUUCUUCACAAAGAAGACAGGAGCACCCCUUGGAGAGGCACUCAGACGAAUAAAUCCCUUACAUAACAAAUAUUUCAACUGAGCCUUCAUCUCCCUAAACUUAAUCGGAGCCAUCCUACAGGGCAGAAUAGAAAUAGGAUGAGUACCUGAUUUUAGAUCAAUACAGAAAUCAAUGUCACUGUCUAGUGGCAUGCCAAACAAAUCUGUAAGAAAAAUCUCUUGGAACCCAUACACCACAGGAACUAAUUCAAUAGAUAGGACCUCUACAUUAGUGUCCUAAAGAAGUUCUAGAAAGGCCAAACAACACCUUACAAUUAAUCUCUUUGCACCUAUAAAGGAAAUAAGUUUUUGUAGAGCAAGAUUAUAAUCACCCUCCCACUUAAGUCUAUCCAUUCUCGGUGUAUCCACAACUAUGGUUUUAGCAUGGCAGUAUAAUAUAGCAUGAUACAAACACAACUAACUCAUCCUAGUAUUAUGUCAAAAUCUACCAUGUCUAGAAUCAUCAAAUCUACCUAAGUGUGGUAUGAUACACUAUAAGCAUAAUAGAACAGGAAUGAUAAACUCUAUCAACAAUAAUAAAAUCACCAACAGGAGUAGACACAUGAGUAAGGAAGUCAAGUAAAUCACACACCAUGUCCAAUCCCACAACAAAAUAGAAAGUUAUCUAAGAUUAAAUAAUAUAGUGGUCAUUCGUUUAUAGACAAGAAUGGUACUGAUAAUUACAGCGUCUACUGCCUCUGCCUUAAGCCUACCUGGAAAAGCAUAGUUAUAAACCCUACCAUCAAUCUGAAUGUCACCCUUGCCAAGUUAAGAAUCACCUUACUGGGGUUGAUUAUCAUCUCUACCUGCGUGGUGACCACCACACCCACCCCAUGGAUAACCUCUACCAUUACCACCACCUCCUCUGCCUGAUAAAACCAAAGCUCAAGGAUCCUAUUGCUAUCUAGACUGAUCAUACUUCCUCAAAUAAGGAAAAUACCUCCUAAUGUGACCAACUCUACCAUACUUAUAACAUAUAUAAUCCAAGGUGGGUCACUGAGUUGAUGAAGACGAAGUAAGGUAACCAUCAAAGUCUUAAAAUAGUUGGCUAGCCCCUAAUGUACCCCCACCAAAUACCUACAUCACUGACUAAAUAGGGUGGGCAGGGUAUCCUUGUGAACUCAGACCCCUAGGAUAAGAACCACCAAAAUUGCCUCCUUUGUGGACCUUUUUUCUGCCACUUUGGCAUAACCCUCUUGCCUUUCACCCUUUACCUUCUUAACAAAAUUAACCAUCUCCAGAAAAGACUUACCUAAAGAUGUCCUCUAAAGUGUAAAAAUCUAAAGACGUGUAUUCAAAACCUUCACAAAGAGAUAGAUCCUCUCUUCCUCCAUUUUCAAAUGAGAUAAAUAUCGAGCAAUCAAUAAAAUUUGGCCUUAUAGUUUGCGACUGACAUACUCCCCCUCUUAUGAUUAGUGAACUCAUCCCUUUUUAUAUCUCUCAAUAUAUGAGGCACAUACUUUUCUUAAAAAUUGAGUAAAAUUUAGUCCAAGUCAAUAGAGUCAAACUUGUUGCCCUACACUCUACAUAAGCUUUCCACCACAUCUUGGCAACUCCCAAAAAUUGAAAAGUAACCAAUUCCACAUAAUACAUUUCCACCACAUCCAUCUUGUAAAGUCUCUCAUGACAAUCAAUAAUAAAAUCAUAGGCAUCCUUAGACUCGGUGCUAUGAAAAACAGAAAGAUUCAUCUUGAAAAUUUUGGAAAACAAUUCAUGAUUAUCUCUAAUCAUCACUUGACCCCCUACCUGUCUAAAAAAACAUCUAACUCAGACAUCUCUUCCAUUCGAGGAGCUACAUCAGCAAUAUGUUGAACCCCUGAAUGUUUUGCUGUGGGCUUAAAAAGCUCAAUACCUGAUUAAUCACAUUGGAAGACAUUUGAAUUAGAGUUGAACCUCUCUGAACUAAUGCGACACAAUUAUGAAAUGACAUCCCCUUAUUCUGUAAUAGUAUCACUCUAUCCUCUGCUAUCUCAGUCAUAUCCUCUUGAAGAAGAGGAGACACUAAGCUCUCUCUAGCUAGUCUCAUGCCCCAAGCUCUACCCUUGAUAGGUGUAGCUCUCCUUAAUCUUUCUCGUCCUUUCCUUACUUGUCCUCAACCCUGAACCGCAGCCCCAAUAAUUAGUUCAAGCAAUAUAACUCUUGCUUUAUUUUCUUGUGUUCUUACUAUUUAUGAGAAUAAGAAUGAAAGGAGUCAAAUACCAAUUGGGAUCACCAGAUACCAAUUGGAAUCAAGUAAUAACAUAUAAGAAAGAAGAAUUUGAAUUUUCCUAGUGUCUUAUAGCCUCUUAAAGAAAAGUGUAGAUGUCUCUGUACAAGACUCUAUAGAUAUGUUCUUGUUCGAUGAGAUAAAAAACUAGGGCUCUAAUACCAACUUUGUCAUGACCCAAAUGACCAUGGGUGGUACCUAUACUAAUCUUCUUAUGGGAGAACCAUCUAAACUGAUACCUGAUCAUUAGUCAAUACUAAGAUGAGAUUAUCAUAAAAACCAACUUAAUGAUAAUAAAUCAAAUGUAAUUUUUAUUAAUGCAGAAAAUCAAGCAAACUACUUAUUAAAAUUCUCCAAGACCUGAAAGUCAUCGUACAAGAACUUCUAAACAAACAUCAUGUCUAAAGAUAUAUCUAAAAUAAAGAAUAAUAAAGAAUGUCUCAUUGCUCAAAAGAUGGACAAGAACUAAUAUGAUGAUCCAUGGUAUCUUGGAUGGAAUUCUCACCCUUGGAUCAAAAUCAACUUUCAAACACUAAAGAUUAGGUUGUGUCAGUACAAAUGACUAUGUACUGGUAGGAAUCAUAGACAAACUUAAUUUAAUAGAAUGUAUACAAUAUAAAUUGAAUAUAAGUAGGUAGGCAUCAACAUAUAACAAGUGUUUAAUGAAUCAUCAAAUACAUCAAUGACGGGCUAACAAUGCUUUACAAACAAGCCAUAUAACUAUCAAAAGUAUCAACCAUCCCAUAAACAACUACAGAAUCAACAAUAAUACCAUAAGUAACAAUUACUAUGUCCUUCUAAACCUCACAAUUACCACACUAUUAGUUCGUUAUUGAUUUAUUAAACCGCACGACCUAUCAAAAUCAACACUAUUCUAUACACAUAUGCUAAGGAACUUAUUUUUGCCCAACUAGUCAUGAACUAUAGGGGAUAAGCAAAGUCUAUGUACCAUACUAGUGUGGUACUCGAUUGUCCAUAAGUCUCUCUACUUUUCUCUAGAAGAACAAGGAGCAACCCUAUUUUCCCUCUAGGGUCCUUUAGUUGUACCAUUUUUUUAUCAAGACAUGGUAUUUAUAGAUUUAGAUUGAUUCAUCCUUAAAGGGUUAUGGUAUCACGUGUAUCCAAACUUGAAGUUUUUUAAAUAACCCUAAGAAUAUUCUAUUACAAGGCAAUCUUAUUGUAAUACCCCAUAUUUUGGGCUAGAAUGAAAAUCGUCAUUUCUACGCAUUGAUGUUCUAAAAGCCAUAAAUCCUAUGAAAAUUUGGUAUGUUAAUCAAUUAUGUAGUGUGGAAACCUAUUUGAGCAUGAAUUGAGAUCAUAGAGGUCCUCUAACUCAAGGUCAAGUUGAAAGCUUUCCUAUCAUUCGAGUUUUAGUGAGCGCCAAAACUUAGGUCAACUUUAAUUGAUCAUAAAUCCUUUUAUAUGAUGAAAUGGAUGGCCUACUAUGUAUCAAAUGAAAUAUCUUCAAAUUAGAUUUCCAACGAUACCAAUUUCAUCCAAAUCCGAUAGCGGAGCAAAAAGUUAUGCCCAUUUUACUCCAGCAUAUCAAACUGGCAACUGAGUGACGACAAUUCUGACGGCUUAUCACAAAUCUGACGACUUAUCAAAAUAUGUCGUCAGCCUUAGGCAAAAACUCAUAAAUUUCAGCUCCUAGGUGGACGACCUGGGCUUAUGGGCUAUCAUAGAUCUGAUGGCUUAUCAGCCUUGGUUGUCAGCUGAAAAUUUCAGCAACUGGGAAGUGAUUUUGUAGGGGUAUUUUGGUCUUUUCCUCACUCCUAAAAACCUUUCACAUGAAUUAAAUCACCCCUUAAGUGUUAUUAAUCCAUAUAUUAUCAGUUUUACAACAUCUCAAUCCUCUCUACUCUCAAGAACAAAAUGGAAACUAGGGUUUCUCCAAGAUCAAGAAAUUAAGAAAAUCAAUCCUUUAGUUCAAGAUUUCUAAGAAAACAAAUCAGGAUUUACGUUUCCUUCCCUUCAAUGGAUCAAGAAUUCAUCCUCCUAAGUGAAGAUGUUCAAGAAAUGGAUCUAGGUCUGGGUUCCAUCUAUCUAUAUCCGGGUUCCAUCUUUCAAACUAAAUAAUCUUAGGUACGUGGUGUUUAUCCUAAACUACAUGGGAUUGUUGAAAUAUUAAAGUAUGAUUUAAAGAUCUAUCAAGCAUAAAUUUAUAAAGGAGUUUUUGGAUCUAUGAUUUUAUUGUGCAUUAGGAAUGUUUAAAGAUAUUGAUGAUUUGGUCUUUAGGCCUUUCCCCCUUAAAUUGAUUUACAUGUAUAUGUAUAUGCAUGAAAAAAAUUCAGAUUUGAAGAUUGUUUGAGAGCAUAAUUUAUGGAAUCCCUCUCUUGUGAUGACUUUAAAUUUGUGGUCUUGUUGGGAAUGAUUUGAUAUGCAUGAUUUAUGGCUUGAAAAUAGUUUACUUAAAUACCAUAGUAUUUUGAGCAUGAUUUAGAGAUUUUGAGAGGGAGUUUCUUGAUAUAAAUGUGUUUUGUUAAAUAAAAAAAGAUUUGUUUAAGAUUAAUUCUUUUGACAUGACCACCUUGUAUUAUUUGAAAUAUUGUCAAAGAGAGUUGCAUACAUGUGUUUACAUGAGUAAUUAAAGAAAGGGUUCUUCGAACUGAUUUAUUGAUAUGGUGGUCCCAAAUUUAUGUUUUGGAAACAGAGAUUCUAAUAUGCUAAUAAUGGCUCAAAGAUGUGACUUGCAAGUCAAUGGUAUGACGAUACCAUAUGUAAGUAAGCCAUAACAAAGUAUGUUUUCAGAGAAUGUUUUCAGAAUAUGUUUUUAGAGAAUGCAUAUUUUAAAGAGUUAAAAAUGGGCAUAAAGAGGGUUAGGUGGUUACUCAAAGAAGGCUUGAGUUCAAGUAACUCUUAGCCUAAAACUGUAUUUGCCGAUAUGGGUAGAUUAUUAUUGUACGCUGGCGAUGGCCGUAUGGCGUAGUAGAUUCAGAGACUCCAACCCUUGUGGCACACUUAGGUUGGGGUCUAGGAUGCCGAGUUAAUGGUAGAUUCCAUAUAGCCCGUAGAAUUUCAGAGUUGUAGGGUAUACCACCUAGCGCAGAAGUAAAACAAAGAGUGUCACAGAGUUCAAAUGAUUUUUCAGAGUCUCUAAAAAAUGCCUAUGAGAUUUCUUACUAUAUGAUAUGUUUAUGAACUGUUUUAAAUUGCUCUUAUAUAUGUUGAAUUCAAAUUACUAUUUUGGAUUUUCUCUGUGUACCAGUACAUCUGUAUUGACCCCCCUCCCCUACCUCUCAGGUUCUGAGGCUCAGUCUAGGGGUCCCAAUAAGAAAUAGGUAAUUCAGACAAUAGAUUAAAUUGUGCAUUGGUGAGCCUUCUCUAUUCCAGAAGGCCUGUCCUUUCAGAUUAUGUCAUCUAUAACAAUUUUGGUCUACUAGGGGACUUUUCCUAGUUUUUAGAUAUUUGUUAGAAUUUCAUGUAGUAGAGAUUUCGCAGACUUUUCCAGAUAUUGUUAAUGAUUUUUGGAUUUCAUUCCUUAUUGUUAAACUUAAUCCAGAGUAUGACCAUGUUUCUGUAUUACAUCAUAAAUUCCACAUUUUCUUUUACUAUAUGAAUGUUGUGCAUGACUACCAAAUAGAGUAGGAUGUCUGGGCCUUCAUGGUUUGGGAUGUCCGUCAAAGUCAGGCCCUAGUUCGGGUCGUGACUCUUAUACUCUUUUUGAGGUUCUUAGUGAUGUUUUCCUCUUAAGGUGUUCAAGCAUGAAAAGACUUCCAAAGUAUUAUAGGAUUUAAGUUAAAUGGUAAUAUUCACAAAUUAAGUCAAGGCUACUACCCAUUUUUUGCUCCUUCUUAUAUACAAUAUUAGUUGAGGAAUUCCACAUGUGUUUGGAAAGAAAUAUGAAAGGCUAAUGGGAAUCCUUAAAGUUUAAUAAUAUUCUAUUAUGAUAAAGGAAUUUUGGGACUAUUUUAGGGUUUAUUUUAUGUGUUUAUAUUAAAGUAAACUUGGUUGAUCUUAAAAAGGGAUGCAAAUAGUUACCAUUGAUUUAUAAAAAGGCGUAAUGACAUGCCACUUAAAUUAUACAUUGUAUGAGCCCACUGUUCAGCCACACUUUGUGAAAUAUUUUGUACUUAAUAAGAAGCCAUGGAGUUUCUGGGGUUCUCAUAUAAAUAUAUGUGUUGUACAAAUGUAAUUAGAGGAUAAGGGGUUAAACAAACACCCUUGGUUUGCUAAAUUACUGGUUUAGCAUGAGGCUACAAUUUUGUGAUGUUAGGUAGACCAAAUGUGUUGGUUAGUUACUAAUAAUAGGUUCACCAUAUAAAUUAUUAUAGAUAAGUAAUUUGAGAGGCAGAAGGUUAAUUCGGUUUAAUAUUGGAGUUGUACAACAAGGUAUGUAAGGCAUACUUUAUUUCGUAUUCUUUGGCAUGAAAUCCAACACUCAUGUUACAAAGUAAGCUUCUAAAUUUCUCCUACAAAAAAUGAUACAUAGUGCCAGUGCAUGAUCUCCCAUGUGUCUAACGACCUUGUCCCAACUCUCUAAUAUGUUAAAACAUUUAAUACAUUCUUAUUAUCAAGUUUACAAAUCUACUUUCACUAACAAGUUUCAAGAGUUCUCCUUUAAGUCAAAUAAUACCCAUAUGUUAUUUUUAGCUCCUAAACAUUUCAUUCAUGUACAAACUGCUCCUUACCUAAUUAUUAUUGCAUUAAGUGUUUAUUCACAUAUCUUUUACUUGUAGAUUAUUACUCCAAAGUACAAUAAUGUUAUGACCACCAAAGUAACAAUUUCAAAGGUUAAAUAAAAAGUAAUGCAAAUAUAAGUUAAAUGGGUGGUAGCUCAGGUGCAUAAGCGUAGCAUGGGCCAAUCCUGAUACCUUUAUAUAUGGGUGGCAGCUUAGGGGGGUAAGCCUAGCAUGGGUCGAUCCUAAUGUGCGUAUUCACCACUAAUCAACUGGUCAUUUAUAUCAUAUGGCUUAUAAAGAUUAUAAUGUAAGAAGGGUAAAUUAAAUAAAAGAAUGUAAUGUACCUGAUCUUACAAGUAUAGGUAAAGGUGGUAUAGUAGCAUCAUUUGUACACUUGUAUCUAAUUUCAAUUAAGCUCUUGUAUUAUGUAUAAUUACUUUUAGCCUUGCAUAUUUAGCAUAUAUUUUCAUACUGAUAUCCUUUUUGAGGUACUUGUAAUUCAUGUUGUAGGCACAGAUGCUUUAGCUAAUACAACUCUCUAGUAUCUUUAGAGGCUGUGUAUGCCUCUAUUGGUAUUGGCAAUAAUUAAGAGUAAGGUGGAGGUUUGUCCCGACCUUAACUAAGUUUGUGUAUCUUUAGAGGCUGUGUAUGCCAAUAUAAAGUUAAGCAUAGUAGUGUUUUGUCUUUUAGAUAUUGUGGCCCUAACAACCAAGUCUUGUGUAUAUAGUUUUCUGCUUUCCUAUGUGGUUUAUUCUCAUCGAUACAUUAUAUCUGUAUUUGGUAAAAUCUUUGGCUAUCAUAUUUACAUAGACGAGACAUACAAGGUUAUAGGUUGGUGAUCUUGGGCCUUUACGGCUAUGCGUGCCUGUACGCUUCAAUGGGAGUUGUAGCAUGGCAAAAGUGGUAUCAGAUCAGAUCCUCCUUGGAUUCUACAAAGUUGUGUCUAUGUACACUCUUGCUUAUGGGUGUUUUGUGCACCAUAUCCAUAAAUAGGAUGCAACGGUACAUCAGGGGGUUGUCUUUUUUUCUUCAUAUCUUUAGAUAUGCUAUAUAGCCAAAGUUAUAGGUGGAGUCAUUUUUAAUUAUUAAAUCUAUUUUUUUCUUACUAUAGUAAAGAUACAUGUUACGAGAAGAAGUAAGAACAUAUGUAAUAAAGUUGAUGUGCCUGCUGGAGAAGGGACAGGUUACCACCGAGACAAACUAAUCAAAGUGAGGUUAAGCUGAAUUUGUAUCACAAACUUCUUCUACUCCUCCAUCUCCAGAAUAGCUAAUGGGGAAAGCAGCACCCUCAGAAUCACCUAUUAAUGCUACUAAAAGGAAUACAGUGCAAUUGAUGAAUUAUAUAGCUUCCAGAUAAGCUCAAAGAUAGACUAUUCCAACUACAGGUUCUAGUAGUGUGAAUAGGGCAGCUAGUCUACGGACACGAGAUUUCCUUAAAUUAGAUCCUCCCACAUUCUCCAGAUCAAAUCUCAAUGAAGAUCCAUAACACUUUAUUGAUUAAAUCCAAAGAGAUCUGGAUGUUAUGCAUAUAUCUGGUAAAGAGAUAGUUGAGCUAUCAACAUAUAGAUUAAAAGAAGAGGCUAUUUUAUGGUAUGAAGACUGGAAAUGGUCUAUGGGUAUCGACGUACCUUCAAUUACUUGGAAAGAGUUCAAAGAGGUAUUUAUUGAUGAUUACCUUCCAUUUAAGAUUUGAGAGGCCCGUGGAUAUCAGUUCUUAAAUCUUUGCUAAGGAAAUAUAAGCGUAAGGGAAUACAACCGUCUAUUUAACUCUUUGACUAGGUAUGCUCCUAAUGUUGUAGCUUCUAUGGAUGAUAGAGUUUAUCGACAUAUGGAUAGACUGGAUCCAUAUUUGGUUAGAGAUUAUACUAUUACUACUUUGAAUAAAGACAUGGAUAUAGCAAGGAUACAAGCUUUUGCAAAAAAAUAGAAAAUUAGAGGCAAAGAAGAAGAACACAAGAAUAAAAAAGAAGGUAUUCCAAGAAUACCAUAUCUAUGGGGUAGUUUAUGGCAUCCCAAAGAGAGUUUAGGCAUUGGUUUUCUAAUAGACCACCUAGGCCAUCAUUUUUUUAUUCUGUAGCUAGUGCUUCACUAUGGUUUUAAGGGUCCAAUGGCAAUAAGUUUGGGCAAGGAAGUGAGAGCCAAAGUUCACAAAUAAUGGGGUAUCAACAGUAAAGGAGUAUGAUCCAAUCAACAUCUCCUCAAUGUCCAUGUAAAUAAUAUAGAAAUCUUCAUUUGACUUUGGGAAAAAUUCAUUUUUUUGGUGUAGGAUGUCUAGACAUAAUUAGAGAGUGCCUACAAAGGGGCAUGGGUGGUAUGGAAUGACCUACUAGAACAACCGUUGCGUCAUCAUUAUCGGUGCAUAUUUAGGUAGGGGUAUACACCCUAUAGGUUACGGUAAAGGUGUUAAAGGAACAACUAGUUUUAGUGGAGUUCAUAAUCGUACAUAUGCUCUAGCAGAUUCACAAAAUUUAAAGGCUUCUCCUCAUGUGUUUAUAGGUACAUUAUCCAAUUUUUCACAUAAUGUAUAUGCAAUAAUUGAUCCUGGUUCUAUAUUAUCAUAUGUCACUUUGUUGGUUACUGGAAAGUUCAAAAGAAUACCAAAAGUACUCGUUAAGCCUUUUGUAGUGUUUAUGCCAGUUGGUGAAUCUAUUACAGCUAGGAAAGUAUAUCAAAAUUGUAUAAUAACUGUUUAUGGUCGUGAUACAAUGGAUAAACUUGUUGAGUUAUAAAUGGUCAAUUGUAAUGUUAUAAUGGGUAUGGAAAGGUUGGAUUCUUGUUAUGCCGCAGUAGAUUGCCGAACUAAAAGGGUCUAUUUCCAUUUUCCAAGAGAGACAGUCCGUGAAUGGAGAGGUGGUAUUGAUGUGCCAAAAGUUAAAAUUAUUUCUUAUCAUAAGUCAAAAGGGAUAAUUUCCAAAGGUUACAUAUGUCAUCUAGUAGAGUAAAAUACAUAUAUUUGGAACCACUAAUUCUUCAAGUUAUUCCAGUGGUAAAUGAAUUCCCCGAUGUAUUUCUUGAAGAUCUUUUUAAUUUGCCUCCAAAAUGGGAAGUAGAGUUUGGUAUUAAUGUGAUUCCAAGUACUCAACAAAUAUUUAUUCCUCUGUAUAGAAUAUCCCCAUCAGAAAUGAGAGUUAAAAAGUAACUAAAGGACUUGCUAGAAAAAAGAUUCAUAAGUCCUAAUAUGUUCCCUUGGGGCGUACCAGUGUUAUUUGUGCAUAAGAAAGAUAGCUCAUUGAGAAUGUGUAUUGACUACCAGCAACUAGAUAAGGUAACUAUUAUGAACAAAUAUCCCCUUCCUAGAAUUGAUGACUUAUUCGAUCAGUUACAAGAGGCUAAGUAUUUCUCAAAGAUUGACUUGAGGUCGGGUUACCACGAAGUUAGGGUCAAAGAGAAAGAUAUACCCAAGAUAUCUUUUUGAACAUAGUAUGCUCAUUAAGAGUUUUGCGUCAUGUCCUUUGGGUUAGCUAAUGCACCAACAUCUUUUAUGGAUUUGAUGAAUAGAGUGUUCAAGCCAUUCUUAGAUAUGUUGGUGGUAGCUUUUAUAGAUGAUAUUCUGGUUUAUUCAAGAUCAUAAGAGGACCAUGCUAAUCACUUAUGACAGGUGUUACAUAUUUUUUGUGAUCAUAAGUUAUAUGCAAAAUUCUCUAAAUGUAAGUUUUGGUUCAAAUCUAUCACAUUCUUAGGUCACAUUGUAUAUGAUGAAGGAAUAAAGGUUGAUACUAAAAAUAUAGAAACCAUGAAGAGCUGGCCAAGGCCUACAUCGCCUACGAAGGUUCGUAGUUUCCUUGGGUUGGAAGGUUAUUAUAAAAGGUUUGUUGAAGGAUUUUGUUCAAUUUCUAAACCUUUAACAAUUCUAACACACAAAGCAUCCAAGUUUCAUUGGAUAACGCAUGUGGAUACAUUUUCCAAGGUCUGAAGAAUAAGUUAACUUCUACACUCGUAUUGGUACUUCCAGAAGGCACAGAAGAUAGGCAGUGUAUUAUGAUGCUUCAGGAAGUAGCUUAGGGUGUGUACUGAUGUAGCAUGGUAAAUUAAUAGCUUAAACCACAAGAUAAUUAUGGCUACAUGAGAAAAAUUAUCCAACACAUGAUCUUAAGCUAGCAGCAGUUGUAUUUGUUUUAAAGAUAUGGUGCCACUACUUGUAUGGGAUUCAUGUUGAUAUAUAUACUAACCUUAAGAGUUUGCAAUAUAUAUUUAACCAAAAGGACCUAAAUUUAAGGCAGUGAUAAUGGCUUAAUCUAUUAAAAAACUAUGAUGUUGAUAUCUUGUAUCAUUCAAGGAAAGCAAAUGUGGUAGCUGAUGCUUUGAGUUGUAAGACAAUGUCAAGAAUUUAUGUGUAGUCAAUGGAAAGGCAAGGAAUAGCUAAGUAUCUACACCAACUAGCUAAUUUAGGGGUUUGCCUUCUGGAAACUCCAAAUGAGGGGGUUAUUGUGCAAAAUGCAGAAGAAUCUUCAUUAGUAGUUGAGAUGAAAAAGAAGUAGUAUGCAGAUCCUAUUCUAUUAAUAACUUACGGAAAAUGUACAAUAAGGUAUGGCAAAGGCAUUUGAGCUUACGCAAGAGGGAGUACUUCGGUUCCAAAAUAGAGUGUAUGUGUCUAAUAUAAAUGGUCUAAGAAAGAGGAUUAUGAUAGAGGCAUAUCAUUCAAGGUAUUCCUCUAUCCGAGGUCAACUAAGGUAUAUCAUGAUUUGAAAUAAAUGUAUUGGUGUGGUGACAUAAAGAAGAACAUUGCAGAAUUUUUAGCCAAGUGUCAAAAUUUUCAAAAAGUUAAAGUUGAGCAUCUAAAGCCUGGGGUUUUAUACAAUGUUUAAAUCAUAAAAUUUAGAAGUGGGACAUGAUCAACAUGGAUUUCUUCAAUAGUUUGCCUCAUACAUCUCGAAAGUUCAAUUCCAUAUGGGUAAUAAUUAUAGACUUACCAAAUUAGACACUUCCUAUUGAUUAAAACCACUUACACAGUUGAAAAGUAUAUGAGAUUUUAUAUUAAAGAGAUAGUUUGGCUACAUAGAGUCCCAAUAUCUAUUAUAUUUGAUAUGGAAGCUCAAUUUACUACAAAUUCUUAAAAGUCUUUUCAGAUAAGUUUGGGAACAAAAGUGAUUUUAAGUAUAGUUUUCACCCUCAAAUAGAUGGACAAGUUGAACGUACCAUUCAAACACUUGGCAAUAUGAUAAGAGCUUGUGUAUUGGACUUUAAAGUUAGAUGGGAUGAUCAUUUAUCUCUCAUCGAGUUUUCUUACAAUAAUAACUAUCAUUUGAAUAUCAAAAUAGCACAAUAUAAAGAUUUACAUGGAAGAAAGUGCAGAUUACCAAUUGGAUAGUUUGAAGUGGGUGAAACUGCCUUAUUUGGUUCAGAUCUUGUUCGUUAAGCUAUGGAAAAGGUUAAAGUGAUCCAACAGAGGCUAGAAACAGCCUAAAGUUGACACUAAUUAUAUGCUGAUGUUAGAAGAACGGGGCGAGAGUUUGCUAUAGGUGAUUGGAUAUUCUUUAAUGUGUCACCAAUGAAAAGGGUAAUGAGAUUUAGUGAGAAAGGAAAACUAAGUCCACUUCAUAUAUAUCCAUAUAAGAUUAUUCGAAGGUUUGGUCAGGCCACAUAUUAGUUAGAGCUACCCCAAGAGCUCUUAACAGUUCAUCCAGUGUUUCUCGUCUUAAUGCUUCGAAAGUGCAUAGGAGAUCCAUAUUAUAUUACUCCUACUGAAGAUAAACAAGUUAUGAGAGACCUGCCUAUGAAGAAGUACCUAUUGAUAUUCUAGAUCGUCAAGUUAAGAAGUUAAGAAAUAAAUAAAUCACUUCUAUAAAAGUACUUUGGAGGAACCAGCAAGUAGAAGAUAUCAUAUUGGAAGCUGAGGAAGUAAUGAAACCCAAAUACCCACAUUUAUUCAACUCCAAAGAGAGAGUUUCAAGAUGUUGAAUUGGAGAAAUAACAUGUAAGUAUAAAUAUAUAAGUAUUAUGUGGUAACAGGAAGAUUAAACUUAGGCUUGAACUUGUUUAGGGUGGAUAAUUAUGUUAACAUUCGAGGACGAAUGUUCCUAUGAGGGGGUAUAACACCCCAUAUUUUGUAUGUACUUGUUCUACUUAUACAUAAUUUGAUAUAGACUUGUGGUAUAGGUAAAGGACUACCCAUAUUAAUGGUGUAAAUAGAUUUGAAGAUAUUGCUCAUACCUUUUAAUCUGACAUGACCAAGUUAACAUUGAUACAACUAUCUUGACUUGGGAUUGUGAGUAGGUAUUUGAAUCUAAGCUUAAAGUGACCAAGUGUAUACAAGUUUUAAGUUAAAUUAAAGGGGUUAAGAACUAAAAAUGGAAUAAAAUAUUAAGGUUCUUGCUUGACUUAAGUAAUCUAGUAGGUGAGUCACCUACUUGAGUUAUAUGAACCAAGUUAAUGGAUCUAAGGUUAUGGUUCAAAUUUGGGCCUAUAUUAAUGCACUUAUAUAAUCCCAAACUAAAUAAAAGAAAAAAUAAAAUGGAGAAAGUACCCAACACUCAAAUCUGCCAAGGCCCAAUUUAAUUGAGCCCAACAAAGAAUCAAGCAAGUAGGUACAUCACGUACUUUGACCUUUUGAGUAGCUUGAACUCCUUAAGUAGGUGCAUCACCUACUUGGACAAAUUUGAGGUCCAAAAUGUUUCUAAAGAGAUAUCCUAAAUAGGGCCUUUAUAAGGACAAGUUUCUGGUCAUUUUCUUCAUUUUUAUGUCACAACAAAGACCAUAUUUCACAAGUUCUCUUUACUUUUUUCUAGAGCAGGAAGAAGCAACCCUAUUUUCACUCUAGGGCUAUUUAGUUGCACCAUAUUUUUCUCAAGCCAAGGUAAGUAAAAUAAUUUAUAAAUUUAGCUUGAUUCACCCAUAAAGGGUUAUGGUAUCAUGUAUCAAUAAACCUGAAGUUUGUGAGACAAUCCUAAGAAUAUUCUAUUACAAGGAAGUCCUAUACUCUUUUUUGAGGUUCUUAAUGAUGUUUUCCUCUUAAGGUGUUCAAGCAUAAAAAAAUUCCAAGGUAUUUAAGGAUUUAAAUUAAAAGAUAAAAUUAAGGUAAGGCUACUGGCCAUUUUUCCCCUCCUUAUAUACAAUAUUAGUUGAGAAAUUCCACAUGUGCUUGGAAAAAAAAUGGAAGACUGAUGGGAAUCCUUAAAGUUCAAUAAUAUCCUGUUAUGAUAAAGGAAUUUUGGAAGUGUUUUAGGGUAUUUUUUAUGUGUGUAUAUUGAAGGUAGCUUGGUUGAUCUUAAAAAGGAGUGUAAACAAUUAGCAUUGAUUUAUAAAUGGGCAUAAUGAAAUGCCACAUAAAUAGACAUUGUAUAAGCCCACUGCCCAGCCACACUUUAUGAAAUGUUUCGUACAUAAUAAGAAGCUUAGAAGUUUCUGGGGAUAUCAUAUAAAUAUGUGUGAUGUACAAAUGUAAUUAGAUGAGAAGGGGUUAGGAGAACACCUUUGGUUUGCUAAAUUACAAACUUACUGUCCGACUAUGUUUUGUGAAGUUAAGUAGACCAAAUAUGUUGGUUAGUUACUAUAAUAGGUUUACCAUAUACUUUAUUAUAUAUAAGUAAUUUUAGAGGCAAAAGGUUAAUUUGAUUAAUAUUGAAGUUGUACAGCAUGUUAUGUAAGGCGUACUCAAUUUUGUAUUCUUUGGCAUGAAAUCCAACACUUGUGUUACAAAGUAAGCUUCUAAAGUUAUCCUAUAGCAAAUGAUACAUAGUGGCAGUGCAUGAUAUCCUAUGUAUCUAACGACCUAGUUCCAACUCUUUAAUGUGUUAAAACACCUCAAUACAUGCUUAUAAUCAAGUCUGUAUGUCUACUUUUACUAGACUCAGAUGUUAUUUUUAGCUCCAAAAUAUUUUAUUCGUGUACCAACUACUCCCUACCUUAUUGUUAUUACAUUAAGUAUUUAUUUAGAUGUAUCUUACUGGUAAAUUAUUGUUAUAAAGUCCAAUAAUGUUGUGAGCACCAAAGUAAUAAUCUCAAAGGUUAAAUAAACAAAGUAACAUUAAUUUGAAUUAUAUGGGUGGCAGUUCUGGGCAUAAGACUAGCAUGGGUUGAUCCCGAUACCUUUAUAUGUGCGUGGAAGCUCAAGGGUGAAAUCAUAGCAUGAGCCAAUCCCAAUUUGUUUUCUUACCAGUUAUCAGCUGGUUAUUUGUAUCAUAUGGAUGACAAAUAUUAUAAAGUAAGAAGGGUAAAAUAAAGAAAAGAAUGUAAUGUACCUGAUCCUACAAGUAUAUGUAAAGGUAGUCUACUAGCACCAUUUAUACACUUGUAUCUAAUUUCAAUUAAGCUCUUGUAUUAUGUGUAAUUACUUUCAUCCUUGAAUAUUUAGUACACAUUUUUAUAUUAAUGUCCCUCACGUGGAGCUACAUUUCAUGCUACAGGUAUAGGUGCUUCAGCUAAUGUACCUCUCUAGUAUGAGUACAAGAUAUCCAGCGGCUAUUGUUAAGCUCCAAGUUGAUUCGGGGCUUUUUGAGUCUAUUAUAUAUGUUUUGCUAUUGAUAGUAGUUAAGAGUAAGGUGGGAGUUUUUCCUAAUCUUAACAAAGUCUAUGUCGAUUUAGAGGCUUUGUAGAUCAAUAUAAAGUUAAGCAUAUUAGUGUCUUGUCUUUUAGAUGUGGUGGCCCUAACGGCCAAGUCUUGUAUUUAUAAAUCCUACGUGGUUUAUUCUCAUUGAUGCAUUAUAUAAAUAUUUGGAAGAACCUUUGGUUAUCAUAUUUACAUGCAUGAGAUGUACUAGGUUAUAGGUUGGUCCUCUCGAUCCUUUACGGCUAUGGGCGCUUGUCUGCCCCAAUAAGAGUUAAGGCGUGACACUAAACACCACAACUAGGGUUCUUGGAACCAUGAUGGAUUAAUA
rnacentral:lncRNA from 1 species